GACGAACGCUGGCGGCGUGCUUAACACAUGCAAGUCGAACGGACCGGCCGGGCUUUUGUGGGGUGCUCGAGUGGCCAACGGGUGAGUCACACUUGAGUUACCUGCACUUGACUUUAGGAUAUUUUCAUGGACAAGGGGCUAAUUCCGGAUAGGAGCUCCUGCUGCGUGGUGGGGGCUGGUACGUUUAGGCGGUUGGGGAUGGAGACGCGGCUGAUCGGCUUGCUGGUGGGGUAGUGGCUUACCAAGGCUCUGCCGGGUAGCCGGCCUGAGAGGGUGACCGGCCACGUUGGGGCUGAGCUACGGCGCAGACUCCUACGGGAGGCAGCAGUGCGGAAGAGUGCACAGUGGGCGGAAGCAUGAUGCAGCAACGCCGCGUGCGGGAUGACGGCCAGCGGGUUGGAAAGCGCUUUGGCCUGUGACGAGGCGUGAGUGACGGUAAUGGGGAAAGAAGCACCGGCUAACUACGUG
rnacentral:rRNA from 1 species